GGGAGGCGCGCCCCAUCCUCCCGUUCCCGUUCCCCACUCCCACUCUACACUCCGCAGGCGACUAGUCCCCACGAAAUCCCUAAGGCUUCGCGGCGAGCGCGGCCGGCGGGAGAGCCGGCGACGAGUUAAUUCAAGGUAGCAAAGGAUUCCGCAGCAGUUCGACGAGGGGUGAGGGCGGCGGGCGCGUGCCGGAGAAGGAGGACAAGGAAACGACGACGGGGGAGGGGGGCGGAGCUGGUGGUUCUGCGUGAGGCGGCGACGAACCCGGGAGACGCGAGUUCCUGCUGCUUCGACGACCCGAGGCAAGGUUUUGCCUCCAGUAGUCGGCAAGGAUUUUCAACACCAGUUUCUUCGGCAUCCCUGGACUGGCAGUAUUUAAGAUGGAGGACUACAUAGAUGAGCACACUGGCGAGAAGCAAGGUGCAAGACAAUUGGCAAGAAACAAUUCAAGAACCCACAACUUUUAUGCAGUAUCAUGGUUGUACAGGAGGCAAGGACAGGGGACCAGAUUUGGGGCAAGAUUCAAGUCAGGUUUUCGCAACACUUGGGUACAGGAGGCAACUAUGCAAGUAGUAGAGCAUGGGGUACGUACGUGCAAAGGGGGGAGUUCCACUAGCUCUAGUAGAACUGAAUUUUUUUUGAAUGGACCUGUUAUCUUUCUUGUUUUUUACCAGGAGAAACUUGCCCAGUUCUGGCAAUUUUUUUGCCCACGUUUUCUUCAGAUUGUGCCUGAUCAACACAAAUAGUUGCAGACAAGGUUGUCUUCUUCACGAAUUUUCCACGAUCUUUUUGACUUU